GUGGGGAAUAUUGGACAAUGGGCGAAAGCCUGAUCCAGCAAUGCCGCGUGAGUGAUGAAGGCCUUAGGGUUGUAAAGCUCUUUUACCCGGGAUGAUAAUGACAGUACCGGGAGAAUAAGCUCCGGCUAACUCCGUGCCAGCAGCCGCGGUAAUACGGAGGGAGCUAGCGUUGUUCGGAAUUACUGGGCGUAAAGCGCACGUAGGCGGCUUUGUAAGUUAGAGGUGAAAGCCUGGCGCUUAACUCCAGAACUGCCUUUAAGACUGCAUCGCUUGAGUCCAGGAGAGGUGAGUGGAAUUCCGAGUGUAGAGGUGUAAUUCGUAGAUAUUCGGAAGAACACCAGUGUCGAAGGCGGCUCACUGGACUGGUAUUGACGCUGAGGUGCGAAAGCGUGGGGAGCAAACAGGAUUAGAUACCCUAGUAGUCC
rnacentral:rRNA from 1 species